ACACAGGAAGUCAGGAAACCCAGGGGGCAGAGGAGCCACAACUUCGGGCCAUUUAAACCCUCUCGCCCACGUCAGCCAAUAGGCUGCGCCGGCCCCCUCCCCCCCGGCGCCUACCCCCGCGCCCAGAGCCCCUCGCUGCGCGCCCGACCUCCCUUCGCGCGCACCUCGGCGGCGCCGCCGCCGCCGCGCCUCCCGCACACGCCUCCCCCCGACUCCACCGCCCUCGGCGGGCACAGCCCGGCCCCGGCGCGCCUUUGUGCAGCGCCUCGCUAACCUGCCCUCCGUCCGCCAGGACCCGCGCCCUGCACCUCACCGGGAGCCCGGCGGCCUCGCAGCAGGCGGCUCCCUCCUUAGUCCGCCCCGCGGCUGCGGGUUGGCGACGCGAGCCCGAAGAGCGUUCACACGGCGACGGCCGCGGCCGGCCAGUCCCCGCAGGCUGGCCUCUGAGGGAGGAGUUUUGCUCGUUGUCCAGGUUGGAGUGCAAUGGCGCGAUCUCAGCGCACCGCAACCUCUACCUUCCAGGUUCAAGCAAUUCUCCUGCCUCAGCCUCCUGAGUAGGUGGGAUUACAGAGUUUUGCUCUUGUUGCCCAGGCUGGAGUGCAAUGGCACGAUCUCGGCUCACCGCAACCUCCGCUUCCCAGGUUCAAGUGAUUCUUCUGCCUCAGCCUUCCGAGUAGCUGAGAUUACAGGCAUGUGCCACCAUGCCCAGCUAAUUUUUUGUAUUGCUACUAGAGACGAGGUUUUGCCAUGUUGGUUCAGGCUAGUCUCCAACUCCCGACGUCAGGUGAUCAGCCCACCUCGGCCUCCCAAAGUGCUGGGAUUAUAGGUGUGAGCCACCACACUCAGCCAGAACUUACUUUCAAUUGGUUGAAAAAUAUAAAAAGAGAAAUAAAGCAUCCAUGGCAAAAUAUUAACAAUUGAUUAAUCUAGAUGAAAGGCUUAUGUAUGUUCAUUGUUCAGUUUUCUCAAAUUUUAGUUAAGCUUCAAAAUUUUUAAAAUAAAAACUUGGGAG